rnacentral:rRNA from 1 species
GUCUCUGGCCAUACCACCGUGAAUGCACCCGAUCCCAACUGAUCUUAGAAGCUAAGCAGGGAUCUGCUUAGUACUUGAUGGGAGAAUGCCUGGGACUAGCAGGUGCUAUAGCUA